rnacentral:rRNA from 1 species
GGGUGAGUAACACGUGGAUAACCUACCUGUAAGACUGGGAUAACUUCGGGAAACCGGAGCUAAUACCGGAUAAUAUAUUGAACCGCAUGGUUCAAUAGUGAAAGACGGUUUUGCUGUCACUUAUAGAUGGAUCCGCGCCGCAUUAGCUAGUUGGUAAGGUAACGGCUUACCAAGGCAACGAUGCGUAGCCGACCUGAGAGGGUGAUCGGCCACACUGGAACUGAGACACGGUCCAG